CAGUAUAUUUGUAUUACGAGCGGAAAUUGUUACCAUUUUCGGCUCAAAAAUGGUAACAAUUUCCGCACGUAAUACAAAUAUACUGAAAAUAUG